CCUACGGGAGGCAGCAGUGAGGAAUAUUGGUCAAUGGGCGCAAGCCUGAACCAGCCAAGUCGCGUGAGGGAUGACGGUCCUAUGGAUUGUAAACCUCUUUUGUCGGGGAGCAAGGCCCGCCACGUGUGGCGGGAAGGAGAGUACCCGAAGAAAAAGCAUCGGCUAACUCCGUGCCAGCAGCCGCGGUAAUACGGAGGAUGCGAGCGUUAUCCGGAUUUAUUGGGUUUAAAGGGUGCGUAGGCGGAAGGUUAAGUCAGCGGUAAAAUGUCGGUGCUCAACACCGGCCUGCCGUUGAAACUGGUCUUCUUGAGUGAGCGAGAAGUAUGCGGAAUGCGUGGUGUAGCGGUGAAAUGCAUAGAUAUAACGCAGAACUCCGAUUGCGAAGGCAGCAUACCGGCGCUCAACUGACGCUGAGGCACGAAAGCGUGGGGAUCGAACAGGAUUAGAUACCCCAGUAGUC
rnacentral:rRNA from 1 species